UUAAAUCAUUAAAUUAAAAAUAUUUGGCGGUAUUUUAAAUAAUUAGAGGAACCUGUGUAGUAAUUGAUAAUCCACGAUAAGAUAAACUUAAUUAUUUAUGUAUUGCUGUUUGAAGAUUAUUAUUAAUUAAAUAGUUAUUUUUUUUUUUAAAAAUAAUUCAAGUCAAAAUAUAGUAUAAUUAAGUUAUGGGUUACAAUGAAAUUUUGAAAUUGGAUUUAAUAGUAA
rnacentral:rRNA from 1 species